ACGAAUAUGUGCGUAAAAAAUUUCAGCUCUAUGAGAUUCACCUUUGUAUUGCUAAUAAUAGCCGAGACCUACAAGAUUGCAAACACAACAGGCAAUGUAAUGAAAACAUUCAUAUUUGCCUCACCGCCAGCACGAUCCAACCGCGACCCUUUUCUCGUCUCCGCAUCAUCAUCAAUAUCGAACUGGAGGAAGAAGAUGUUGAUAUGUAAUCAUGAAGCAACGGUACUGUGUUGUAAGAGAAUGAAGAAAGGGUGAUGUUAGCUAGUAGUAUUGAAAUAAUGAAGUUUUUUGUUGGAUAUAUGCUCGAUGGACAUCUCAUAUCUAUGGUUUGACUAUGGAAUAAAAUGAAUGUUAUUUAAA